rnacentral:rRNA from 1 species
GACGAACGCUGGCGGCGUGCUUAACACAUGCAAGUCGAACGGUGAAGCGAGUGCUUGCACUCGUGGAUCAGUGGCGAACGGGUGAGUAACACGUGAGUAACCUGCCCAUCACUCUGGGAUAAGCACUGGAAACGGUGUCUAAUACUGGAUACGACCAACCCUUGCAUGGGGUGUUGGUGGAAAGAUUUAUCGGUGAUGGAUGGACUCGCGGCCUAUCAGCUUGUUGGCGGGGUAAUGGCCCACCAAGGUGACGACGGGUAGCCGGCCUGAGAGGGUGACCGGCCACACUGGGACUGAGACACGGCCCAGACUCCUACGGGAGGCAGCAGUGGGGAAUAUUGCACAAUGGGCGAAAGCCUGAUGCAGCGACGCCGCGUGAGGGAUGACGGCCUUCGGGUUGUAAACCUCUUUCAGCAGGGAAGAAGCGAAAGUGACGGUACCUGCAGAAGAAGCACCGGCUAACUACGUG